rnacentral:rRNA from 1 species
CGGGGGGGGGUGCUAUACAUGCAAGUCGAGCGGACAGAUGGGAGCUUGCUCCCUGAUGUUAGCGGCGGACGGGUGAGUAACACGUGGGUAACCUGCCUGUAAGACUGGGAUAACUCCGGGAAACCGGGGCUAAUACCGGAUGGUUGUCUGAACCGCAUGGUUCAGACAUAAAAGGUGGCUUCGGCUACCACUUACAGAUGGACCCGCGGCGCAUUAGCUAGUUGGUGAGGUAACGGCUCACCAAGGCGACGAUGCGUAGCCGACCUGAGAGGGUGAUCGGCCACACUGGGACUGAGACACGGCCCAGACUCCUACGGGAGGCAGCAGUAGGGAAUCUUCCGCAAUGGACGAAAGUCUGACGGAGCAACGCCGCGUGAGUGAUGAAGGUUUUCGGAUCGUAAAGCUCUGUUGUUAGGGAAGAACAAGUGCCGUUCAAAUAGGGCGGCACCUUGACGGUACCUAACCAGAAAGCCACGGCUAACUACGUGCCAGCAGCCGCGGUAAUACGUAGGUGGCAAGCGUUGUCCGGAAUUAUUGGGCGUAAAGGGCUCGCAGGCGGUUUCUUAAGUCUGAUGUGAAAGCCCCCGGCUCAACCGGGGAGGGUCAUUGGAAACUGGGGAACUUGAGUGCAGAAGAGGAGAGUGGAAUUCCACGUGUAGCGGUGAAAUGCGUAGAGAUGUGGAGGAACACCAGUGGCGAA